GUGAGAUACCUUCCUCCAGAUAAUGGCCUUCCAAAAAACACUUGUCGUCCUGGUGUUUCUCCUGCUGCUUGUUAACACUGAGUUUUCCAAAGCUCAAAUGACCGGACAUUUUGAACACAGAUUAAACAGUAAUGCAGAGGGAAUUUCUUCACAGGAAAAUAUGAGCGAAAGUCUGAGAAGCAGAUUCCGACGACACAACAGAUGGCGAGCUGCCCAAAAGGAACGAGCACUCCCAGCAAUGAUCCAUCGGAAGGAAUUCAGUCUGCCAGAAACUUCAGUCAGACAGACAGACUGAACGACAUACUUUAUGGAUCCCGAAGGAAAUUGGGUCUCGUUACAUUCAUACUAAGCAGGAAUUGUGUAGAAAUAUAGCAAUAUUUAACCAGAAAUAAUUAAAUAAUUAUAAAUUAUGCCAAGUAGAAAUAAUCAGUGAUUCAUAGUCACUUUAUUUGUGACAACAUUAAUUCGUCAUGAGCUAAGUACUGUCUCUGUUAUAGUCUAUUCGUUUACUCUAUUAAUAAUUCAUAUUACAUUUCAAGCAAGGUAAAGGUGCAGAAGGAGGCCAUUCGACCCAUUGAGUCUGCUCUGCCACUCCACCAUGAGCUGAACUAUUCUCCCAUCUAGAUCCAAUUUCCGACUUUUUCCCCAUAUCCCUUGAUACACUGACUAAUUAGAUACCUAUCAAUCUCCUCCUUAAGCACCUUCAAUGAUUGGGCCUCCACACUGUAUGUGGCAACGAAUUCCAU